rnacentral:rRNA from 1 species
GAUGAACGCUGGCGGCGUGCCUAACACAUGCAAGUCGAGCGAAGCAAUUAAGAGGAAGUUUUCGGAUGGAAUGUUAAUUGACUGAGCGGCGGACGGGUGAGUAACGCGUGGGUAACCUGCCUCAUACAGGGGGAUAACAGUUAGAAAUGACUGCUAAUACCGCAUAAGCACACAGAACCGCAUGGUUCGGGGUGAAAAGCCGAGACGGUAUGAGAUGGACCCGCGUCUGAUUAGCUAGUUGGAGGGGUAACGGCCCACCAAGGCAACGAUCAGUAGCCGACCUGAGAGGGUGACCGGCCACAUUGGGACUGAGACACGGCCCAA